CCUACGGGAGGCAGCAGUAGGGAAUCUUCCACAAUGGGCGCAAGCCUGAUGGAUCAACACCGCGUGAGUGAAGAAGGGUUUCGGCUCGUAAAGCUCUGUUGUUGGAGAAGAACGUGCGUGAGAGUAACUGUUCACGCAGUGACGGUAUCCAACCAGAAAGUCACGGCUAACUACGUGCCAGCAGCCGCGGUAAUACGUAGGUGGCAAGCAUUAUCCGGAUUUAUUGGGCGUAAAGCGGGCGCAGGCGGUUGCUGAGGUAUGAUGUGAAAGCCUUCGGCUUAACCGAAGAAGUGCAUCGGAAACCGGGGGACUGGAGUGCAGAAGAGGACAGUGGAACUCCAUGUGUAGCGGUGGAAUGCGUAGAUAUAGGGAAGAACACCGAUGGCGAAGGCAGCCCCCUGGGACGCAACUGACGCUCAUACACGAAAGCGUUGGGAGCAAACAGGAUUAGAUACCCGAGUAGUC
rnacentral:rRNA from 1 species